ensembl:snRNA U2 U2 spliceosomal RNA
UCAGUUUCCCAAUUCUGGUCAAUUCGGGUAAUAUGUAUAGUCCCCAUCGGGGGACUAUACAUAUUAAAUAGAUCUUUCGAACAGGGAGUCGGAAGCGGGGCUUGCUCCGUCCGCUCCACGCAUCGACUUGGUAUUGCAGUAACUCCGAGAACGGUGCACCCUCU